AAACGGUAGCACAGUGGGGUCACGGCAUAGUGGAGACAUUGCAUAGUUGGAUCCAGUAUAGAUUUAAUCUGAAAGUGAUUAAAAUCACUAUCAUAAGAAACGCUUCGAUGCAAAUCUGUAGAUAGUGUUUAAUUUUAAAAAAUUGAUGAAUAAUUGCAAAAUCAACAUCAACUUCUAUUAAAAUAAAAUACAAAACCCAUAAUUUUAAUACAAAAAUAGCAUAUUUUUGAAUACGGCAGUCAUUUGCGUAUAGAAGAUAGAUCGUCGGGACAAAUUUUUUUUUUUCAUUUUGUAGUACAUAAAAUAAGCUUUAAUUUUAUAUAUGUUUAAAGGACGCAGUAUUUCCGGAACAUUUUCAAAAAUUAAGUUGAAAAAGUUAUUUUUUGUAAAAAAGUUACUAUUUUAAAUCCUCCCAGUGAGCAGAAUAAGUGUUAGAUUUUCAAAAAAAAUUAUAUCAAAUGAAAGGGAAAUAUCUAAGGUUUCAAUACAAAAAAAUAUUAUUUUUAUUUGUUCAUUUUUGAAAAAGUUAUGGCAGUUUUAAGUACAAAAAACAUCCCGAUAAAAUGUAAUUUUUAUCGCAAACAUUACAUUUUUUUUUAAAUUUUCGACAGCCAUUUGCACAUAGAAGAUAAGAUGUCGGGACAAAUUUUUUUUUUUCAUUUGAUAGUAUAUAACAUAACCUUUGAUUUGAUAUAUGUUUAAAGGACGCAGUAUUUCCGGAACAUUUUCAAAAGUUCAGUUGAAAAAGAUCUAUGUUUUUUACAAUAUUUUAAGUUUUGAACGCCCCCUAUAUAAGGGGAAAUUGUCCAAUUUUAAUAAAAAGUAUGUCAAAUGAAAGAUGUACUUAUAAUGUAUUUAGAAAAAAAAAAUUUGUGCUGAUAUAUACAUUUUUCAAAAAGUUAUAGCAUUUUUAAGUUGAAAAUUUAAAAUCGAAAAUCGAAAAUUUUAACACAAAAAUAGUGUUUUUUUAACUACGGCAGCCGUUUAAAUGUAGAAAAAAAAGUGUCGGGACAAAUUUUUUUUUUUCAUUUUGUAGUACAUAAAAUAAGCUUUAAUUUGAUAUAUGUUUAAAGGACGCAGUCUUUCCGGAACAUUUUCAAAAAUUAAGUUGAAAAAAUUAAUUUUUGUAAAAAAGUUGCCAUUUUAAAUCCCCCCCAAUGAGCAGGUUAAGUGAUAGAUUUUCAAAAAAAUAAUAUCAAAUGAAAGGUAAAUAUCUAAGGUUUUAGUAUAAAAAAAAAUUAUGUUGAUUUGUUGAUUUUUCAAAAAGUUAUGGAAGUUUUAAGAAAAAAAAGUGAAAAAAUUUCGAAAAUUAGCGAUUUUUAAAUUUGUAAUUUUUUUGGAUAUUUCCCCCAUUUGCGGGGAACGAGGGAAUUUUUUUCAAUUUUUAAGGGUAAUGUCUUCAACUAGAUACGAUUUGUGAUCUUUUGACGUAUUUUUGAAAGAAAUCGGUCCAGUGAGAGCUGAGAAAAAGUGGCAACAGACAUAAAAAAAAAAAAAAAAAAACACAUCAUAGUAAAAUUAAUACCUUCUCCGCUUCGCAUCGAAGCUAAAAAAGUUACAAAAUUUUUCUUCAGUGAAUUAAAUUUGAACUUAAAUUUGAUGUGUCCAAAAGUGUUUUACAAGCCACUGUGCCAUGGGUUAUAUCAUAUAUUACUAAAAUAUCAAAUUUAUUAGAGUUAUAAUUUAGUUUAAUUCUUUUGAAAAAAAAAAUCAAA